ACGACGCUGGCGGCGGUGACCUAUACAUGCAAGUCGAACGGUCUUUCUAUGGAAGCUUGCUUCCACUGAGAAGAUAGUGGCGAACGGGUGGAGUAACACGUGGGUAACCUGCCCAUAAGAGGGGGAUAACAUCCGGAAACGGGUGCUAAUACCGCAUAGUUUUCUUGACUCGCAGUGAUUGAGAAAGGAAAGACGGCCUUUGUGCUGUCGCUUAUGGAUGGACCCGCGGCGUAUUAGUUAGUUGGUGAGGUAACGGCUCACCAAGACGAUGAUACGUAGCCGACCUGAGAGGGUGAUCGGCCACAUUGGGACUGAGACACGGCCCAAACUCCUACGGGAGGCAGCAGUAGGGAAUCUUCCGCAAUGGACGAAAGUCUGACGGAGCAACGCCGCGUGAGUGAAAGAAGGUUUUCGGAUCGUAAAACUCUGUUGUCAGAGAAGAACAAGUUGGAGAGUAACUGCUCCAGCCUUGACGGUAUCUGACCAGAAAGCCACGGCUAACUACGUGCCAGCCGCCGC
rnacentral:rRNA from 1 species